AUGAACGCUGGCGGCGUGCCUAAUACCUGCAAGUCGAGCGAACAGAUGAGGAGCUUGCUCCUCUGACGUUAGCGGCGGACGGGUGAGUAACACGUGGAUAACCUACCUAUAAGACUGGGAUAACUUCGGGUAACCGGAGCUAAUACCGGAUAAUAUAUUGAACCGCAUGGUUCAAUAGUGAAAGACGGUUUUGCUGUCACUUAUAGAUGGAUCCGCGCCGCAUUAGCUAGUUGGUAAGGUAACGGCUUACCAAGGCAACGAUGCGUAGCCGACCUGAGAGGGUGAUCGGCCACACUGGAACUGAGACACGGUCCAGACUCCUACGGGAGGCAGCAGUAGGGAAUCUUCCGCAAUGGGCGAAAGCCUGACGGAGCAACGCCGCGUGAGUGAUGAAGGUCUUCGGAUCGUAAAACUCUGUUAUUAGGGAAGAACAAAUGUGUAAGUAACUAUGCACGUCUUGACGGUACCUAAUCAGAAAGCCACGGCUAACUACGUG
rnacentral:rRNA from 1 species